AGAACAGAAAUGUUUUUCUGGUGUGCUGGG
rnacentral:piRNA from 1 species